GAAUUCGCCCUUAGAGUUUGAUCCUGGCUCAGGACUAACGCUGGCGGCGUGCCUAAUACAUGCAAGUCGAACGGUCGUGCGUUUGUAGCAAUAUGGACGUACGAUAGUGGCGAACGGGUGAGUAACACGUGGAAAACCUACCCUCGAGCGGGGGAUAACUCCGGGAAACUGGGGCUAAUACUGUAUGACAUCCCUUCUUGGUAUCGUGAGGGGAUCAAAACCGAAAGGCACUGAGGGAUGGUUCCGCGGCCUAUCAGAUAGUGGGCGGGGUAACGGCCCACCAAGGCGACGGCGGGUAGCCGGCCUGAGAGGGCGAUCGGCCACAAGGGGACUGAGACACGGCCCCUACUCCUACGGGAGGCAGCAGUAGGGAAUUUUGCUCAAUGGGGGAAACCCUGAAGCAGCGACGCCGCGUGGGCGACGAAAUCCUUCGGGAUGUAAAGCCCUUUUAACCGGGACGAAAUACAUGACGGUACCGGUGGAAUAAGCCUCGGCUAACUCCGUGCCAGCAGCCGCGGUAAGACGGGGGAGGCAAGCGUUGUCCGGAAUCACUGGGUGUAAAGGGCGUGUAGGCGGGCCGGCUAGUCGGUUGUUAAAUCUCUCCGCUCAACGGAGAAGCUGCGGCCGAUACUUCCGGUCUUGAGUGCGGCAGGGGAGGAUGGAAUUCCUGGUGUAGCGGUGAAAUGCGUAGAUAUCAGGAGGAACACCGGUGGCGAAGGCGGUCCUCUGGGCCUGCACUGACGCUGAGUGCGCGAAAGCUGGGGUAGCAAACAGAAUUAGAUACUCUGGUAGUCCCAGCC
rnacentral:rRNA from 1 species